rnacentral:rRNA from 1 species
GAUGAACGCUGGCGGCGUGCCUAAUACAUGCAAGUCGAGCGAACAGAUGAGGAGCUUGCUCCUCUGACGUUAGCGGCGGACGGGUGAGUAACACGUGGAUAACCUACCUAUAAGACUGGGAUAACUUCGGGAAACCGGAGCUAAUACCGGAUAAUAUAUUGAACCGCAUGGUUCAAUAGUGAAAGACGGUUUUGCUGUCACUUAUAGAUGGAUCCGCGCCGCAUUAGCUAGUUGGUAAGGUAACGGCUUACCAAGGCAACGAUGCGUAGCCGACCUGAGAGGGGGAACGGCCACACUGGAACUGAGACACGGCCCAGACCCCUACGGGAGGCAGCAGUAGGGAAUUUUCCGCAAGGGGAGAAAGCCUGACGGAGCAACGCCGGGUGAGUGAAGAAGGUCUUCGGAUCGUAAAACUUUUUUAUUAGGGAAAAAAAAAUGUGAAAGUAACUAUGCACGUUUUGACGGUACCUAAUCAAAAAGCCACGGCUAACUACGU